CCUACGGGUGGCAGCAGUGGGGAAUAUUGCACAAUGGGGGAAACCCUGAUGCAGCGACGCCGCGUGAGUGAAGAAGUACUUCGGUAUGUAAAGCUCUAUCAGCAGGGAAGAAAAUGACGGUACCUGAUUAAGAAGCCACGGCUAACUACGUGCCAGCAGCCGCGGUAAUACGUAGGGGGCAAGCGUUAUCCGGAUUUACUGGGUGUAAAGGGAGCGUAGACGGUAGCUCAAGUCUGAAGUGAAAUGCCGGGGCUUAACUGCGGAACUGCUUUGGAAACUGGCGAACUAGAGUGCGGGAGGGGUAAGCGGAAUUCCUAGUGUAGCGGUGAAAUGCGUAGAUAUUAGGAGGAACACCGAUGGCGAAGGCGGCUUACUGGACCGUAACUGACGUUGAGGCUCGAAAGCGUGGGGAGCAAACAGGAUUAGAUACCCUUGUAGUC
rnacentral:rRNA from 1 species